rnacentral:lncRNA from 1 species
AACUUAAGCAAACCUGCAGACUGGUUAAGCAAACACACCACACACUCUCUCCGACCCAGGAAGGUCCCAGCAGGAGGUAUUGUGCGACUCUUUUCACACUCAGAAAGCAAGCAUCCCAGCUCUGCUAUGAAGAGACGUCCCGGGAGCUGGAUGGAAAGGUUGGA